UUCAUGGUCUUUAAAUUUUUGUCUUUUUGUAAAUAAGUUAUAUUUUCUAUUUAUAUUUCUAUCAAUUUAAUGGUCCACCCACUUGUAUAUGUUUUCCUGGUGCACAUUUAUCCACAUGACGUGCAUGUCCACGUUUGUCCCCCCGUCUCUCUCUCUCUCUCUCUCUCUCUCUCUCUCUCUCUCUCUCUCUCUCUCUCUCUCUCUCUCUCUCUCUCUCUUCAGGCUUUGAUCCACAUCCUAUAGACAGCCUAUCCCAGCUCAGCUGAACUAUUUUUUUUCCCCUUUUUUCCUUCUCUCAUUUCACCCACAUCCCGAAUCUUCUUCUUCACUCUCUCCUUCUCUCUCUCACGCUCUCUCUGCAAUGCUCUCAACUCAUCAUCUCUCGCCCUCAUAUGUUCAUAGUUUCAAUGAUUGCAUCUCUCUGUCUAUUUUUCCUUCACGAAUCUAUAGAGAUUUCAUUUUCCGAUCUUCUUCAUUUGUUGUUUUUUUUUUAUUUUACUGUUCACAUGCUCUGGGUUGAUUUUGGCCUCUCUUUCUCUAUAUGGUUCUUUAUUUAUUUAUUUUUUGUUCCUAUAGAUAUGAACAGAUCUUGAAGAGAUCUGGGUGUUUUUGUUUCUUGUUUAUUUAUUUUGCCGUUCGCAUGCUCUGAAUUGAUCUUCUUCUCUCUAUGGCUAUUUUUCCAUCACGGAUACGUAGGGAAAUGGAGAGAUCUUCAUUUCCCACAGAUCUUCUUCAUUUGUUUAUGUUUUUUGUGUUUUUAUUUUACCGUUCGGAUGGUCACAGUUGAUCUUCGCCUCUCUCUGUCUAUAUUGUUGUUUUUUUCUAUAGAUAUGAACAUCUCUUUACAGAUUUGAAGAGAUCUUGUUCAGAUCUUGUUAUUUUUUGUUUUUUAUUUUGCCGUUCGCUUAUGAACAGCUGAACAGAUCUUUACAAAGUUGAAGAGAUAUUGUUCACAUUUGAGUGUUUUUCUUUUUUAUUUUUUAUUUUGCCGUUGUCCUUUAUAGUUCUUUAUUUUUUAAAUGAUCUGAUUUGAUCCUUUUUUUUUUUUCAAGUACUUUGGAUUCUAGUUUGUUUUUGUAACAACUUGCUUUCCUAGAUGCCAUUGUUUUGUACUCUGCUUUUUGUGAUAGGUUUUUUAAUAAGUUUUAUGAAUUUAUGUAAUAGUUUCAUAUCUAAUUUUUGUAUGCACUAAAGCAUCUCUACCUUUAUACAUCCUGCAUUUAUAUACUUGUGAACAACAAAAAAGAUCCUAUCUUUAUACGAUUCACAUUUUCUUUCUCAAAGUUGUGUUAGCUGUAAUUUUUUUUUUUUUAAUUCUAUGUCGUUUUCUUUUCUUAAAUUUCUUAUAAAUAACAGGCAUACCACUAUACUGUAUGCAUAUGGUCUUGCUACCCGAAGAGUACAUUAUCCUCAUCAACCAUGGCCAUUAUUUCAACGUGUUUGGUUCUACCUUCUUACAAUCUGUAUUAAUUUAUUCUUUUUUUUUUUCAUUUAUGUGGAAUGCACUUAUUAUAGGAUUUUUUCUUAUGUUUAAUCUUUUUGUCAAUAUAGGAGAUUGGGCAAGACAAAGCUUACAUCAAUGAGACUCUGUUCACUUUAUUUUUUGUAUCUUUUAUAUUGCUUCCAUUUCAAUGCAUAGACAAUAUUCACAAAUUCAAUAGCUGGCACAAGUAUAGAAGGGGAAAAAUAAGAGAAAAUGAAACUGUAGUUUUUCUAAAUUGUAAUUUAUUAUAAUGUUUUGCCAUUAUAAUUUAUAGGAAAAGCCAAUGGUAUCUCUGCCUAGACUCAAACGUAUAUAAUUUGGCACUAUUUUUCUUCAAAAUUUUGAGUUAUUAUAUAAUGGAAUUCAAAUAGACAACAUAACUGGCCAUUAACGGAA